AGAGAGGCCGGGAGCUCGGGCGGCCGGAGGGAGGAGGGAGGAGGCAGCGCGCGGGGGAGCGCGCCCUCGCCCUGGCCCCUCCGAGUCUUCGACUAGUCCUUGCAACUUCUUGGCGUGAUAAUCGGGAAAAGUUGGCCCGUGCCAGGUUUCCGACAGGGAUCAAACAGGAAAAUGCAUGGCACAUUAUUAAUGAGACGUGAGAAGGGGGCAUCUCUCUGUGAUCUGUCUGCCUAGAGACCUCAUUCAUUCUCUUCUCUCUUCCACGAAGAGAACUCACAAAGGCCUGUGACCAGAGGGUGCUUAAAAUUUCAGAGACGAAUGUGAAUAUUACUUUCAAAUCUCCAACAGGAAACUAUGCCAAAGUCACAUCCAUCUUGAGAAGGCCUCAGAGGAGCUGUAAGGAAGCUGAGGGGACCUGCUCUCAAGAGGCAUCUCCAGGAGAGAGACAGAAACCCAAACAGAUGUGACUGUGAUGAGUAAAAAUGAGAGAACUCAGCCUAAUAGGGAGCAGCCUCAGUCCAUUCAGAGCAGAAAGGAAUUGGCUCUUUCUGAAAUUCUGAAAAUGAGAAAUUUCAAAC
rnacentral:antisense_RNA from 1 species